AAGUCCGGGCGGCGCCCCGGCGGACCAGACGAGCUGGGCAGGCGGCGCCUUAGCACGCUGGGCAGAGCCUGGAGGUCUGCGGCUGGGGACUAGCGCGACCGCCGAGGUCCACCCUAGUGAGGCGGGCGGCGUGCCCCUGCAAGAAUGCUCUCGGGACUUGGCGAGGAAGGAGAAAGGACAAGAGCCCGAGGAAAGGAACCGUCGGUGUUCUAUGUCUGUGCUUUAAAAGGGGCAACCAAUUCCCGGGAAGACUGGGAGAGUGGAGGCAACCCUUCCCGGGCCGCCUAGAAGCGCACAGGUCAAAGCCGUGGCCAACCACCUACGACGUGCCGGGUGGCUUCAGGCCCUGCCACUUGAACACCGGGACAUAAAAUAACCGUCAGGGUGGCGUCGCAUGCCCACCUAGCUUAUCUGUUGGCAAGAAACAAAUGCGAAAAAUAACACGACAACGCUUACAACCGCAUCUGUUUCAUUAGACAAAAGCCAAUUUUACCUUCCCGCAACCAUCUGAACCUUUGGAACUUUUAUUUGCGGCAUUUUGGCGCCCUCUGGCUGUGCCUGGAUUGCUUUCCUGUUUGCCAGCACCCCAGCAAAGAAAGCGGUGGAGCUGCAAAUCCUCCUUCAAGGUGGAUCGCGCCCCUGACCUGUGCGUGGAUUUGGGGGUAAGGUUGUCCUCCAGAAUCAAGAAGACAAAAUGCCACCAUAUUUAAAAGGCGAAUUUGGCACUUGCCAAAGGCAAGUGCGUCCGCAUUCCACUGAGGAAAGGCUUUCAAGAGUCGAUAUCAAGUGGACUACCAGACAUGUGGGCCUGGAUCUCAAAGGACACAUCUAAAUUGUGUCCAACUCAAAAAUGCUCCUUCAUAGACAUGCUGUACUGAUUCUCCUUCACAGAGCUCUGAGGAUCCACAAAUGACACAGUUCCUUGAAGAAAAACUUCAGGAAAUCUGAUCCGAUACGGGGACAUUGGCUUGCAGAAAAUAUAAUGCCAUCUGCUGGGUGUUGGAAAGGGGAAGAGAAAGAGCUUGUGCUAACUCCCAUGGACUUGGAAUUAAAUCCUCACCUUGUAU